AGAGAAACACACAAUGAAAAAUUUAUUGAUUUUUUUUUCUCUGUUCUGGUUUUGAUUUUUUUUUCAGGGAACCCAACUAACGGAAGAGAACGAGCGACUUGGCAUGCAAAUAUAUAAUAACGUGCAUGAAUCCGGUGUUGAUGAAUUGGAGAACGCCGCCGUGUAUGAGGAAGGACACUCGUCAGAGUCUAUUACAAACGUCGGGAACUCCAACGGAGCUCCUGUUGACUCCGAGAGCUCCGAUACUUCCCUUAGACUCGGCUUACCAUAUGGUGGUUAGAGAUGGAAACAAUACAAAGGAGUUGAUGGUGGAGUGAGGAGAGUGAUGUAAAUCUUUUUAACUCGGUAAUAACACAAGAGACAAUAUGUCUAAAUAGUAAAAAUUCUCUUAUGUUUGUUUGAAGGUUUUUUUUUGGUGGUUUUCACUAUAUAUUAUCUCUCUCUUCACUCUGCAUUUUUGGUUUGUGACGUCGUUUGUCACAACCAAAUUGUAUGGACAUGGUAAGUUAGAAUAUGAGAUAUUAUAGAACUUAGAUAA